CCUACCAAGGUGGAAGAUAAAAGGACCAAAGACUAAGCCCUGGGUCACUCUAACAUUAAUAGUUUGGGGAAAGGAGGAAGAACCAGCAAAGGAGAUGGAGAAGAUACAACCAGUGAAGUGGGAAGAAAACCAAGAGAAUCUGGAUUCUGGAAGCCAAGUAAAGAAAACAUACAAUGGAAGAGAGAGGGAUCAACCUUGUGAAAUGCUGCUGAUUGCUCAAGUAUAUGAUGACUAAGAAUUGACCUUUGGAUUUGACAACAUGAAUGUCAUUAGUGAUCUUGAUUAGAGUAGUUUUGGUAGUGGUAGAGGCAAAAGUCUGAUUGCAGUAGGUUUAACAAAAAAUGGGAGGAGAGGAAUUGGACUGAUUACGUUGAGGAGUUUUGUUGCAAAGGAGAGCAAAGAAAUGGAACAGUAACUGGUAAAGAGUGAGUCAGUCUCCCUCAUGUGUGCUAAAUCCUGCUGACACAUCCUUGUUCAUGCCUGGAAUACCUAAACUCAGAAAGUUGGUGUUGAUUGAUUGCAAACACCCUGGAAGUUGCAGGUGAGGCUCAUCUGUACAUGUGAAAGAGGAGGCCACUUUUCCAUCCUUUGAUGUCCCCUCCACCUGAGAGCCCACAAGCUGGCUUUGGAGCACUGCAGGUGAACCUCCAACUCUUCCUGGAACGAAGAAGUCUCUCCAAGAGAAGGGUUAGCAGAAGUAGGAAGCAAACGACUUGAGAAAAGAAACAGUAUAGGAAGAGGAAAUUCUUGACAGUGAGAAUGGUUUAAAGAGGGUUGUGUUUUUAUUUUUAACAGCACCCAUUCAUUGGAUAAAUAAUCAUCUUCCAUGUGUGGGCACUUCUGUGUAUGGGCACUGUGCUAGCAAUAGGGAUGCAAUGGUAAGGAGAUAGAGGGAGUCCCUGCCCUCCUGACACUUGCAGUUUAGUGUCUGAACAUAGUUUGAGUAGUACUGUGACCUUACUUCUUCAGUGUGGUGCCUAUCACCCCCUAGAUAAUUUUGCUUCACUUAUAAUUAGCUAGAGUCACUUCUGUAUUUUGUUGGUUGAUGAAUACCAUAACCCCAUAAAACUCUUACAGGUGCUCUUAGACCAUGGGGUUAAUUGUGAUGCAGGUCAGGACACGUCUUCAUGUAGUGUACUUAAAACUAGUACAUCUUUUUUCUAACAUUUUGUAGAACAGCACUGUCCAACAGAAAUUUAAUGUAAGCCACAG